rnacentral:snRNA from 1 species
UUGCUUCAGCAACACAUAUACUAAAAUUGGAAUGAUUCAGAGAAGAUUGUCAUGGCUCCUGGGUGAAGAUGACAUGCAAAUUCAUGAAUUCAUGCAUUCUAUA